GCGAGAGUGGCGGAAUGGCAGACGCGCACGCUUGAGGUGCGUGUGGGAAACUGUACGGGUUCAAGUCCCGUCUUUCGCA
rnacentral:tRNA from 1 species